GCCUCCCACACUCAUAGUGUUUGGUACCAGGCCGGAUUAUGUCAAGGAAUUAAGAAAUGGGAACGUUUGAAAACCACACUGAAGGUGAGGAAAUCUUGGCAGGCUCAACAACAUCAUUUUCCUUUGAGAAACAACACCAGGGACUGGAAAUCCCAGAAGACAUCUCAAGAUCAUAACACCCAUGAGAAAAUGAGCUCAUUUGUAA